GAUGAACGCUGGCGGCGUGCCUAAUACAUGCAAGUCGAGCGAACAGAUAAGGAGCUUGCUCCUUUGACGUUAGCGGCGGACGGGUGAGUAACACGUGGAUAACCUACCUAUAAGACUGGGAUAACUUCGGGAAACCGGAGCUAAUACCGGAUAACAUAUUGAACCGCAUGGUUCAAUAGUGAAAGGCGGCUUUGCUGUCACUUAUAGAUGGAUCCGCGCCGUAUUAGCUAGUUGGUAAGGUAACGGCUUACCAAGGCAACGAUACGUAGCCGACCUGAGAGGGUGAUCGGCCACACUGGAACUGAGACACGGUCAAGACUCCUACGGGAGGCAGCAGUAGGGAAUCUUCCGCAAUGGGCGAAAGCCUGACGGAGCAACGCCGCGUGAGUGAUGAAGGUCUUCGGAUCGUAAAACUCUGUUAUCAGGGAAGAACAAAUGUGUAAGUAACUGUGCACAUCUUGACGGUACCUGAUCAGAAAGCCACGGCUAACUACGUG
rnacentral:rRNA from 1 species